GCUGGGCACUGCAGGUAUCCACUACGUGAGGACUAAUGGGUUGAAACAGAAAAUCCCUCCUCUGGGGGCAGAACACCGCGUUUUGUAUCUGCAAAGACUCCACCCUCCAGGUCUAUGACUCAUGUUACCUCUUCCGGGAAGCCUUCCUCCAUCCUUCCUUCCAAGCCGGAUCAGGCGGCUGUCCUCUGGCUCCACAUGGUACAGGGUUGAAUUGCAGAUGGGACUUCCCACACACAUCAGCUUACCUGGCUGCCUGCCUUCUUGGAUGCCAACACCUGAAAGCAGAAGCAACUGAGACCAUAGAACUUCAUAUUAAUCUCAGGUGUAUAUGUCUACGUAUAUAUUGCAAAAUCAUCACUCCAGGUGCUCUCCCAAACACAGGUCAACUUUGCCCUAACAUGGCCACAGAUUGAACCCAGCUCCACGGCCAGCUCCUACCACACCCUCCAUCUCUGGAAUGUCUCCUUCCCAAGAGAGCUUGAGAAAGAAUGUGGGUGACUUGGUGUCAUUGUGCUGGUGGCCUGUACAGAGAGGUGCAAAGUGAGGCCAGACUAUACAACUUCCUUGUGGAAAUAAACAAAGACCACCCAGAUGAAGACAAAGACAUUCUCCAUUCAGAGCUUGCUACAGCAAGAGAGGCAGCCACUCUCACUUGUGUUUGGCAGAGACUCCCAGACAGACCAGGGACUGGGAGGAGCCCCAGAGUGGCCAAAAGGGAAGGCUCAGGGCCUGCUGGCUGGACUUUCAUCUGCCAUCACCUGCCAUCACCCUAGGGGCCGGGGGGACAUACUGGAGAAGAGAACUCAGGAAUUCCGCAUGGAAGCAGCUGAUACCAACGCCAGAGAUUAUCAGCAAGCACCUUGGCAGAUCUUGGUUGACAGACAGUAAGCUCCAGGCCCCACGUGGAGCUUGAACUCAUGACCCGAGAUCAAGAGUCCCAUGCUCUACCACCUAAGCCAGCCAGGCGACCCAGCCUGAUCUCAGGGCAGUGAGAUCAAGCCCCAUAUCUGGCUCUGUGCCAGCCAUGGAGCCCGCUUAUGAGUCUGUCUCUCCCUCUCAAAAAACACACAAACCAAAAUGAAAAUAAUCAGUGUUGGUGAGGACGGGGAGAAAUCAGAAUCCUGAUCCCCGGUUUGGAUACGUGGCUGGUGGGAAUGGAAAAUGGUGGAGCUCCAUUGUAAGAAAUUGAGGGGCCGUUCCCUUACUGAUGAAUGCAGAAUUACCCUAGGAGUCAGGAGGUUAAGCCCAUCUUUUUAUUUUCUGUAUUUUGAUGUUCUGACAUCUAGGGCGUUGCUGAUCCUGGGGAGAUCGCCCCCACCCCCAUGGUUAGCUCAUUCCUAGAGAUAACAAACAAUCCACGUAUCCUGUGAGUGAACCUUUCACACGCAAACCACCCAGUGCAGGGUCCACACCCUUAGCCACCUCCUUGUUGGGGCUCUCACAGCCGGGGCCACUCUCCCACUGCCCCAGUCACCCCGUGGCCAGGCACCACACAACUAGACAGAGCCCCCAUGACCCAGCCUCACUAACCAACCCUAACUCUGUCUAUGCUGGUUGGCUGUUCCUUCUGCCAGAAACCAAAGUAAAGUCUCUUGGCCACAUUUCCCUCCCUCCAUUUGCCUCCUACAUGACUCUGGUGCUUUCUCCUGUGCCCCUGUGUCCUCUGCUCCUAGAGAUCUGUUAGUGUGAACCUUUUCCUCCAUGACAGUGGUUUCUAUGUACACGUGUCUUACCAUACUGGAUUCGAACUAAUUCCAGACGCCUUUAAAACAAUUCCACUUCUAGGUGUGUGCCCCAAAGAAUGGAAAGUAUGCCCUCACACUAAUAUUUGUCCAACAACGUUCCUAGAAGCAUUAUUCAAAAUAGCCAAAAGGUGGAAACAAUCCCAAAUGUCCAUGCAGGGAGGAAGAAACAAACUGCAGUACAUCUACAUGAAAUGGAAUAUUAUUUAGCCAGGAAAAGGAAUACGAUCCUGACGCAGGCUAUGAACUGGAUGAACCUGAAAACAGUAUGCUAAGCAAAAGUAGCCAGACACAAAAGGGAGCGUGUUGGAUUAUUUCAUUGACAUGAGGUAUCUUGGGUGGGGCACCUGGCUGGCUCAGUCGGAAGUGCGUGGGGCUCUUGAUCUUGGGGCCAUGAGUUCAAGCCUCACAUGGGGUGUAGAGAUUAGUUAAAUAAAUUUAACAAAACUUUAUAUGAAGUGUCUCAAAUAGGUAAAUCCAUAGGGACAGACAACAGAUUAGUGACUGCUGGGGCACAGGGGAGGGAGUAUGUUCUUAAUGGAUUUAUGGUUUCUUUGGGGCUUGACGAAACAUUGGAACGAGAUGGAGGAGAUGGUUGUACAUCGUCAUGAAUGUACUUAAAUACCAAUGAGUGGUACAUUUCAAAGUGGUUAAUUUUACGUUAUGUGACUUUUAUCUCAAUUUUUUUAAAAAGGAAAAAAAUUACAGUAUAGAAUAAAUAAACAGGCAUAAAGGCAAUAAGAUUGGGGGCACCUGGGUGGCUCAGUUGGUUAAGCGUCCAACAACUCUUGAUUGCAGCUCAGGCCAUGAUCUCAGGGUCGGGGGAUGGACCUCUGCAUCGGGCUGUGCACACAGUGGGGAGUCUGCUUGAGAUUCUCUCUCUCCCUCUCUCUAAAAUAAAUAAGUAAAUCUUUAAAAAAGGAAA